rnacentral:lncRNA from 1 species
GCACCACCCGUGAAGCAUAAGUCCAAAAUUUUCGUUAGGUCUCCGCGUGGCCCCAAUCCCCCAUCUCAUCUCUCUCACACACACCGCAUAUCCCCCAGCGAAACCUAAGCCACAUGCCGCCCCUGCCGCCGACCUUGCUGGUCGAUUUGCUUGCGCCGCCGUAUGCUCCUUCCUCGACUUGCCUGGCGCCGCCGCCGUCCCGACUCUGACCAGCCUCGCGCCGCCACGGCGUCCGGAUCUGACCAGCCUCGCGCCACCACCUCUCCAGACUACGACCAGUCUCGCGCCACCACGGCCUUCGGCCCAGAUCUACCUCCCGUCGCCAAGGCCUCCGAGGGGAGGUACUCUACAGUCUGAGGGGCCGCCCCGUAACCUGCAGACCGAGGAGGCGACCUACCAUACUCUGCCAAGGAGACGCCCCACUGCCCCUCUUCCAACACCGGCGACGCCUCCCCUACCUCAUCUGUCCUACCCCGUUUCCAAAUCUGGCUACUGUAGGUAAGCUUCAUCGUUGAUUCUUUUAAUUUUCUUCCGUCCAAAACUAUGAUUGCCCAUUAGAUCUAUCUAGUUUGAACAAGUUUAUGUCGGCUUAUUUGAGUUUGGGUAAUUUUAGGCUGGUUUAGGAACGGCUUAGGCUGACUGGAAGGGAGCGCAUGUACUACUGUAGGUGGGAGCAUGCGGCCUGGUUCAUGGCGGAGGUGGCCUAGUUCGUGAGUGGACAAAGCAACGACCUGGACCAGAUGUCUAACCGACAGUUUCACAUGUGAAUUUUGAUUCAUAUAAAUUUUGUGAUUUAUCUCUGCUAUUAUCUGUAAAAUCAUGUUCUAAUAUGUGCCAUUUGCAGGGCAAAAGCUGGCGGAAACAGGAGAAGAAAGUGAGGUCCUUGUGUAUGAUGAUGGCUUGCCAAUGUUGCAGAAAACAAGGUCUCAGGUGAGAGCUCUUAUUGGAACCAAAAAAGAAUAUAGGAAUAGGAGGAAAUAUAAGGGCCACUGGGGAAGUACGAGGGUCAUCACGGCCACCCAAGAAAAAGAAAACGAUUGUGUACUUGCAGUUGUUUACAUUCAACACUUCCUCGUUAUAUAUACCAUCUGUUUCACACAUAUUUAUGUUUUUUUCUAGUCAAAGAACGGCAUCAGUGAAGCUAUAAAUGAAGGACGUAACUCAAUAGGAAUUUUGCUCGUGUCAGUAAUUGAAUGGUAAACUUAUACUCUGUUCCUGCAGUGCAGCAGUGUCACUCUAAACGAUGGUACAUGCAUCCUAGAAAAUGACUGUCUUCUUAGUCUUGAAAAUAUUGUUAUACUUACAAUACCAAUGCUGACAUCUAAAUUUAGUUGGCGAUGUGGAAAUGUGUUACAUAAUUUAUUGUCAGGUUUGCUUUUCAGUCCUUGCAUUUUAUAUGUGUAUAGCCGCACCCCCAUUAUCAUGCAAAAUAGUAUCAAGUUCAGAGACUUGAUCAUGGAAGCUAGCUGAAAUGUAUGAUUUAGUACGCAAGAAAAUUCCUUUCAGAAAUUUCUCCAAAGAGAAUGCUAGCUUCUAGCAUAUAUCUAUUUGAUCGCUAACUGAACAAUCUCAAUUGCAUAUCUCUAAAAAUUAAGUAAGCACCUUUCCUGACACUUAGAACUUGUGUGGGACAAAUGACCAUAAGUGCGCUGUUCCUAGUAGCUAUAAACUGAAUCUUGCUAUCUUUUAAAGGUCAGCCACAAAAUAAAAACUUGACCAUUAUUUUUCUGAGAAGCAUAUUUAGUUCAGUACCACAAAUCAGGAUUACACCUAGCUCUAUUUUUAGAGAAACAUAGAUGUUGCAGCCUGUUGCAGCAUAUGUUGAGUGUCAGGAUUUUAACCAUAGUAGAAUACAACAUAUGCAAAUCUCUACCGUAUACCAAGUCUAACUGCACUUCCUGCUACUACAUAGAUGGAUUUGUUCAGUUUCAGUUUCUAGAUGCCUAACUAGAGUGCAUCUGUUAUAUAUCAAGGAAAACGAGAUGCAUGUGGAAGUGCACUUCCUGCUGCUACAUAUAUGACUUCUAUCACAUUUAUAUUUACAAGGGCAUAUCUGAUUAUUCGCUAGUUGAGGAACUUCAAAAUGGAAAUAUCUAAAACUACAAUCAGAACAUUAUUCCUGAUGUCUUAGAACAGAUCUGAUUGCUUUAUCAAUGAGUGCAUAAAUUCUCAUUUUUAAGAUUGCUCAAACAUAUGAGUUCUUUUGUAGGGACAAAUGGAGGAAAGUAGCAAGUCGACAAGUUCAUCUAAGAUGUUCCGGUCACCGCUUUUGUUCAUAACACGGUUGACACAUUUUGUUCAUAUGGAAAUUGAUCUUAGCUUGGGGAUCGAAGAUUGGUCUCUUCCAUAAUUAUUUGUGGUAGUGAUCGAACAUUUAGUCUCUUAGGAACUUGGCCAUCGUAUUUUGUAAGACGCCAUGACUUGAAUGUUGACUUAUGUAUUUCCUUUAUGGUUGUAGCUAACUUCAGUGAAGAAAACUAAGAAAUUUUCUAUAUAUGUUGAAUGAAUGCAUUGAUCAAUGGUAUCUUGUGAUGAAUACAAGAGUGCAAAUGUUUGUAUUUGUAUUGGGUACUGAACAUGAAAUGGUUAUUAUGAAUUGAUUUCAUGUUAAUAUAUGGUACAUUUG